CCCGCCCCGGCGCCCGGCGCGAACGAGCUCUGGAGAGACAGUGGCUGCGAGGUGAGUAGGGGAUACCGCGGACUGAGGGAGGAGACCCCGCAGAGCGACGGAGCGAGCUGGGGGAAACGGGCGGACUGCAGGCUGGGCCUGCGGGAAAAGAUCUGAAGGCUGAGAGAGACAUCCAAAUUACUAAGAAAGAUCUGAAGACAGACCCUCACAGGGAGGGAGGAUGAAUAUUGAAAUUUGUGAAUAUCUUCUGGCUCCUAAUUUUGCACCCCUGGCAAUUAUGCAGAAGAUGAUCAGAAAUGGAAAACGAGCAGGAGGGUACCCAGGGCUUUGUGAAUAGGUAUUAACAACUGGUUUGUUGUUACUGGGUUUUUUGUUUUUUUUUAAGGAAAUCACAAUGUAUCUAUUUUAAGCUCUCCUUCCCUGUAGUUAUCUUGUCUUGUUGCAUUAUCCACUUAAUUUAUCAUUGUUGGCCAGGCACGGUGGCUCCCGCCUGUAAUCCCAGCACUUUGGGAGGCUGAGGCAGGCAGAUCAUGAGGUCAGGAGAUCGAGACUAUCCUGGCUAACAUGGUGAAACCCCGUCUCUACUAAAAAUACAAAAAUUAGCCGGGUGUGGUGAUGGGUGCCUGUAGUCCCAGCUACUCGGGAGGUUGAGGCAGGAGAAUGGCAUGAACCCGGGAGGCGGAGGUUGCAGUGAGCCGAGAUCGUGCCACUGCACUCCAGCCUGGGGGACAGAGCGAGGCUCCAUCUCGAAAAAAAAAAAAAUUAUCAUUGUUGACAAUAAAUGUUUUUGGAAGUAAUUUGGAACUGUUGGUUUGCAAAUCACAUAAUAAAAGCCCUCACUUUACUGUAGAGUCACACAGAGACAUUAGACAAAACCAUAUAUCUAGAUUGAUAACUAGACCUAACCAGGUGGCUUUUGGACAUUGCUACAAAUGAAAUCCAACCUGGAAAAAAUAUUCAGGCUGUAAAGGCAGUUCCAAAAGCUGUCUCCAAAAAUCAUUUGGGACAACAAUGUCUCAUUCUUUUUGUCUUCCAUAGUGCUUUGCCUAACUCCUCGAAGAUAGCUCAAACUCAGAAAAUGUUUAUCUGGUUGAGUCACUUUAAUAAAAAUAGUCUUGUUACCUCAUGGUUCACAUGUUAUUUAUUUAUGAAACAGUCUCACUCUGUCGCCUGGGCUGGAGUGCAAUGGCAUGAUCUCGGCUCACUGCAACCUCCACCUCCCGGGUUCAAGAGAUUCUCGUGCCUCAGUCUCCUGAGUAGCUGGAAUUACUGGCAUGUCCCACCAUGCCUGGCUAAUUGUUUUGUAUUUUUAGUAGAAACGAGGUUUCGCGGCGUUGGCCAGGCUGGUCUCGAACUCCUGGCCUUAAGUGAUCUGCCCACCUCGGCCUCCCAAAGUGCUGGGAUUACAGGCUUGAGCCACGGCGCCUGGCUUAUUUAUUUAUUAAGUUAUAAAGACAAAAUCUCACCCUGUCACCCAUGCUGGAGUGCAGUGGCAUGAUCAUAGCUCAAUGCAGCCUCACCCUUCUCCACUCAAGCAAUUCUCCCACCUCAGCCUCCUGAGUACAUAGGACUACACCCAUGCCCCACUACACUUGGCUAUUUUUUUUAAUUUGUUUUUUUGUUUGUUUGUUUUUCGUAGCAAUAAGGUUUCGCUAUAUUGCCCAAGCUAGAAUGCAGUGGCUAUUCACAGACACAAUUAUGUCUGACUACAGCCUUGAACUCCUGGGCCCAAGCAAUCUUCCUACCUCAACCUCCUGAGUAGCUGGGACUAUAGCUGCCUGCCCAGCUUAGAUUUUUAUUCUAUGCAUCAAUAUAUAUCAAUGUACAGAAAUAGUUGUGUUAUUUAAACAAAAGGGAUCAUCCUAUAUCUGUUGCUUUUUGCUGUUUUCUUUUUUUAGACAGGGUCUUGCUCUGUCACCCAGGCUGGAGUGCAGUGGUGCGAUCUCGGCUCACUGCAACCUCUGCCUUCCAGCUUCAAGCGAUUCUCAUGCCCCUGCCUCCCAAGUAUCUGGGACUACAGACAUGCGCCACCACAGCUAUCUAAUUUUUGUAUUUUUAUUAGAGACAACGGUUUUACCGUUGGCCAGACUGGUCUCAAAAUCCUGGCCUCAAAUGAUCCGCCCACCUCGGCCUCCCAAAGUGUUGGGAUUACAGGCAUGAGGUACCGUACCCAGCCAGCUUUUUUUAUUUAAUACAUAUAGCCCAGAACUCCUAGACUCAAGCGAUCCUCCCAGUCCACCUCAGCAUACCAAAUAGCGGGGACUACAGGUGCAUGCCACUGUGUCUGGCUGGAAGUCAUUUCACGUGAAUACUUUGAGAUCUGCCUUAUUGGAGAUGAUGUCAGGAUCACAUACAGUAUGUUAUCUUAUCUGAGAUAGAUAUGUCUAUCUCAGAUAACAUGGUGGCUCAUGCCUGUAAUCCCAGCACUUUGGGAGACUGAGGCAGGUGGGUCAUUUGAGGUCAGGAAUUUCGAGACCAGCCUGGCCAACAUGGUGAAACCCCGUCCCUACUAAGAAAACACAAAAAUUAGCCAAGCAUGGUGGUGCAUACCUGUUCUCCCAGCUACUCGGGAGGCUAAGGCACAAGAAUUGCUUGAACCCGGGAGGUGGAGGUUGCAGUGAGCUGAGAUUGCACCACUGCACUCCAGCCUGGAAGACAGAACAAGACUCCAUUUAAAACAACAACAACAACAACAGCAGCAGCAACAAAAAACUAAACUAAAAAACAAAGGAAAAAGAAAACAUGGAGUUGUUCCUUUGGCCACAUACAUGCAAAUCUGUAAGAAAAGUAAUGUUGUAGACAUCAAGGGAAUGGGUACUGUUCACAAAGGAAUGCCCCACAACUGUUAUCAUGCAAAACUGGAAGAGUCUACAGUGUUACCGAGCAUGCUGUUGGGAUUCUUCUAAACGAACAAGUUAAGGGCAAAAUUCUUGCCAAGAGAAUUUAUGUACGUAUUGAGCACAUUAAUCACUCUAAGGCUGAAGCAGGAGAAUCACUUGAACCUGGGAGGUGGAGGUUGCAGUGAGCAGAGAUCGCAUCACUGCAUUGCAGCCUGGGAGACAGAGCAAGAUUCCAUCUCAAAAAAAAAAAAAGCUGGAGGAUUUGUGUCUUGUAUCAAUGCCCACUUUCCAAUGGGAACUUGCCCACAAAGUUACAUUCUAGAAUUUAUAGUUAGACCUAGAGAAGGCAAGUGACUCACCCAAGGUCACACAUUUACACAGAGUUGAGAACCUAGAUAUCCUGACUCUGUAAAGAUUGCUUUACAGAGUUCAAGACCAGCCUGGCCAACAUGGUGAAACCUUGUCUCUACUAAAGAUAUAAAAAUUAGGUGGGCAUGAUGGUAGGCAUGUGUAAUCCCAGCUACUCAGGAGGCUGAGGCAGGAGAAUCACUUGAACCCGGGAGGCGAAGGUUGCAGUGAGCCAAGAUCACGCCACUGUACUCCAGCCUGGGCAACAGAACGAGAUACCAUCUCAAAAAAUAAAAAUAAAAAAAAAGACCAAUAGACUGUUUAAAAAAAAAAAAGGUUAAAUUUAUAUAGCAUGGUCAGCUUUGAAAACAUCAGAAAGGUCGGGUGUGGUGGCUCACACCUGUAAAACCAGCACUUUGGGAGGCUGAGGAGGGUGGAUCACUUGAAUCCAGGAGUUUAAGACCAGUCUGGCCAACAUGGCGAAAUGCCACCUCUACAGAAAAUACAAAAGAAAUUAGCUGGAUAUGGUGGUGCACGCCUGUCAUCCCAGCUAUUUAGGAAGCUGAGGUGGGAGGAUCAUUGGAGCCUGGGAGGCAGAGGUUGCAGUGAGCCACAAUUGAGCCUCUGCACUCCAGCCUGGGCAAUGGAGUGAGACCCUGUCUCAAAAAAAAAAAGGGAAAAAGAGGCUGGGCUCCGUGGCUCACACCUGUAAUUGCAGCACUUUGGGAGGCCAAGGUGGGUGGAUCACCUGAGGUCAGAAGUUCGAGACCAGUCUCGCCAACAUGGUGAAACCCAAUCUCUAAUACAAAUACAAAAAUUAGCCAGUUGUGGUGGUGUGUGCCUGUAAUCCCAGCUACUUGGGAGGCUGAAGCAGGAGAAUCACUUGAACCUGGGAGGUGGAGGUUGCAGUGAGCAGAGGUCGCACCAUUGCACUGCAGCCUGGGAGACAGAGCAAGAUUCCAUCUCAAAAAAAAAAAAAAAAAAAAAAAGCUGGAGGAUUUGUGUCUUGUAUCAAUGCCCACUUUCCAAUGGGAACUUGCCCACAAAGUUACAUUCUAGAAUUUAUAGUUAGACCUAGAGAAGGCAAGUGACUCACCCAAGGUCACACAUUUACACAGAGUUGAGAACCUAGAUAUCCUGACUCUGUAAAGAUUGCUUGCAUUUUUUCCCCUAGCCCAGGGGUUGACAAACUUUUUCUGGAAAGAGCCAAAUACUCAACAUUUUAGGCUUAGAGGGCCACACAAUCUCUAUAACAUGGCCAAUUUUUUUUUUUUUGAGACAGAGUCUUGCUGCAUUGCCCAGGCUGGAGUGCAGUGGUGUGAUCUCAGCUCACUGCAACCUCUGCCUCCCAGGUUCAAGUUUUCAUGCCUUGGUCUCCCAAGAAGCUGGGAUUACAGGCAUGUGCCACCAUGCCCAGCUAAUUUUUGUAUUUUUAUUAGAAACAAGGUUUCACCGUGUUGCCCAGGCUGCUCUUGAACUCCUGACCUCAGGUGAUCUGCCCGCCUCAGGUUCCCAAAGUGCUGAGAUUACAGAUAUGAGGCCUACAGCGCCCAGCCUUUUUUUUUUUUUUAUUUUCGUCAGGGUCUCAUUCUCUCGCCCAGGCUGCAGUUGCAGUGGUACCAUCAGGGCUCACUGCAGCCUCAACCUCCUAGGCUCAAGCCAUCCUCUUGCCUCAGCCUCCCAAGUUGCUGGGACUGUAGGCACGUGCCACCAUGCUGGGCUGUUUUGUUUUUGUUUUUGUUUUUUUGAGAUGGAGUUUCACUCUGUCACCUAGGCUGGAGUGCAGUGGCGUGGGUCUCGGCUCACUUCAACCUCUGCCUCCUGGGUUCAAGUGAUUCUCCUGCCUCAGGAUCCAGAGUAGUUGGGACUAUAGGUGUGUGCCACCACACCCAGCUAAUUUUUGUAUUUUUAGUAGAGACGGGGUUUCACUAUGUUGGCCAGGUUGGUCUUGAAUUCCUGACCUCGUGAUCUGCCUCCUCGGCCUCCCAAAGUGCUGGAAUUACAAGCAUGAGCCACCAUGCCCGGCUGUGUUUUUUUUCAUUAUUUUUAGUAGAGAUGGGGGUCUUAUUUAAGUUGCCCAGUGUGGUCUCGAACUCCUGGGCUCAAAUGAUCCUCUUGCCUUGGCCUUCCAAAGUGUUGGGAUUACAGGUGUGAGCCACUGAGUCCAGCUACACUGUUAAUUUUUGUAGCUGUACCAUUGUGGCACAAAAACAGCCAUAGAUAAUAUGUAAACAUAUGGCAUGACUGGCAAUAAAACGUUAUGGAUACUAAAAUAAGAAUUUCAUAUAAAUUUCACAAGUCACAAAAUGUCAUUAUUUUGACUUUUGUCUACCUUUUAUUUAUUUAUUUAUUUUUUAGACGGAGUUUCGCUCUUGUUGCCCAGGCUGGAGUGCGGUGGCGCGAUCUCGGCUCACCGCAACCUCUGCCUCCUGGGUUCAAGCAAUUCUCCUACCUCAUCCUCCCAAGUAGCUGGGAUUACAGGCAUGCGCCAUCACACCCGGCUAAUUUUUUAUUUUUAGUAGAGAUGGGGUUUCUCCAUGUUGGCCAGGCUGGUCUUGAACUCCUGACCACAGGUGAUCGCCCACCUCGGCCUCCCAAAGUGCUGGGAUUACAGGCAUGAGCCACCACGCAUGGCUGUCGGCCUUUUAAAAAAUAUAAAAAUCAUUCCUCACUGGAAGGCUGCUCAAAAACAGUGGCUGAGAUUUGUCUUGUAGGCCAUAGUUUGCUGAUCCUAGUUCUAGACUCUCAAGACUAGAGAAGCAGAAAUUUCUUUACAUGCAUCUUUUUUAUUUGUUUGUUUAAGACAGGGUCUCUCCGCCGGGCACGGUGGCUCACACCUGUAAUCCCAGCACUUUGGGAGGCUGAGGUGGGCAGAUCAGGAGGUCAGGAGAUCGAGACCAUCCUGGCUAACACGGUGAAACCCCGUCUCUACUAAAAAUACAAAAAAUUGGCCAGGCGUGGUGAUGGGUGCCUGUAGUCCCAGCUACUCGGGAGGCUGAGGCAGGAGAAUGGCAUGAACCCGGGAGGCAGAGCUUGCAGUGAGCCGAGAUAGCGCCACUGCAGUCCGGCCUGGGCAAAAGAGUGAGACUCCGUCUCAAAAAAAAAAAAAAACAAAAAAAAAACACAGGGUCUCUCUGUCACCCAGGCUGGAGUGCAGUGGUGCGAUCACUGCAGCCUUGACCUCCUGGACUCAAGCAAUCCUGCUGCCUCAGCCUCCUGUGUACUGGAACCAUACAUAGGUGCAUGCCACCACACUGGGCUAACUUUUGCAUUUUUUGUUGUGACGGGGUUUUACCAUAUUGCCCAGGCUGGUCUUGAACUCUUGGUCUCAAGAGAUCCUCCCACCUCAACUUCCCAAAGUGCUGGGAUUGCAGGCAUGAGCCACUGUGCCCAGCCUACACGUAUCAUUUCUGUAAUGAUACAGAAGCUACUCUGCUAUAAUUUUAAAAAAAUUAAUAGACUAUUUUGUUAGCAGUUUUAGGUUUACGUAAAAAUUGAGACCAGGUGCAGUGGCUCACGCCUGUAAUCUCAGCACUUUGGGAAGCUGAGCCAGGUGGAUCACCUGAGGUCGGGAGUUUGAGACCACCCUGGGCAACAUGGCGAAGCCCUGUCUCUAAUAAAAAUACAAAAAAUUAGCCGGGCGUGGCAGCACGCACCUGUAAUACCAGCUACUUGGGAGGCGAACACAGGAGAAUUACUUGAACUCAGGAGGAGGUUGCAGUGAGCUGAGAUCGCGCCACUGCACUCUAGCCUGGGCAACAGAGCGAGACUCUAUCUCAAAAAAAAAAAAAAAAAGUUGAAGCUGGGCGCGGUGGCUCACACCUGUAAUCCCAGCACUUUGGGAGGCUGAGGCGGGUGCAUCACCUGAGGUCAGGAGUUCGAGACCAGCCUGCCCAACAUGAAACCCUGUCUCUACUAAAAAUACAAAAAUAUUAGUCAGGUGUGGUGGCACACACCUGUACUCCCAGCUAUUCAGGAGGCUGAGGCAGGAGAAUCGCUUGAACCCAGGAGGCGGAGGUUGCAGUGAGCCAAGAUCACGCCAUUGCACUCCAGCCUGGGCAACAAGAGCGAAACUCCCAUCUCAGGAAAAAAAAAAAAAAAAAUUGAGUGGAAAGUACGAUUCCCAUAUAUGCCCUUACUACUACCCUCCACCCCAUUUUCCCCAAUAUCAGCAUUAACAUUACUGUGCUACAUUUGUUACAGCUGAUGAGCCAGUAUAGAUCCAAUAUCGAUACAUUAUUAACUAAUGCCUGUACUUUACAUUAGGGUUCAUUCACUCUGUGUUGUAUAUUCUAUGGGUUUUGACAAAUGUAUAAACACAUGUAGGCCGGACAUGGUGGCUCAUGCCUAUAAUCCUAACACUUUAGGAGGCCGAGGAUGGGGGAUCACAAGAGCCCAGGAGGUCGAGACCGUCUUGGGCAACAUGGUGAAACCUCAUCUCUACAAAAAUACAAAAAAUUAGCCAGCUAUGGUGUCGCAUCCCUGUAGUCCCAGCUACUUGGGAGGCUGAGGUGGGAGGAUCACCUGAGCCUGAGAGGUCCAGGCUGCAGUGAGCCAAGAUCACACCGCUGCAUUCCAGCCUGGGCAAUAGAGUGAGACCCUGUCUCAAAAA